rnacentral:rRNA from 1 species
GGCUGGAGCUGCACUGGCUUUGGUCGGUGUAGUUCUCAGUCAUCCGUAUGAGAAACCUUCUCGCUCUUUACCGGGCGGUUGGUGUAUCAUACAAUUUACUUUGAAAAAAUUAGAGUGUUUCAGGCAGGCAAUUGCUGGGAUACACAAGCAUGGAAUAAUGGAAUAGGACUUUAAUCUAUUUUAUUGGUAUAUUAGAUUGAAGUA